rnacentral:rRNA from 1 species
UGCGCAGGCGGUUUUGUAAGACUGUACGUGGAAAAUCCCCCGGGCUCGAAACCUGGGAAUGGCGAUGGUGACUGCAAGGCUAGAGUUUGGCAGAGGGGGGUAGAAUUCCACGUGUAGCAGUGAAAUGCGUAGAUAUGUGGAGGAACACCGAUGGCGAAGGCAGCCCCCUGGGUCAAAACUGACGCUCAUGCACGAAAGCGUGGGGAGCAAACAGGAUUAGAUACCCUAGU